GGGUGGGGCUGGCCAACUUCGACCGCCGGACUCGGAAUGGCGCGAGACUUUGCGAACGGCCUCCAUGUGCAAACAAUAGGCCGCGGGCACAGCCGCACCCAAAAAUAACCGCCAGAAGGCCGGGGCACCAAGUUCGUCCGGCGGAAAUAGGCCGCAAACAUGGGUGGGCUAUAGCCUUGGGGGUUGGGACGGGCCAACUUCGUCCGCCGGACUCGGAAUGGCGCGAGACUUUGCGAGCGGCCUCCGUGUGCCAAAAAUAGGCCGUGGGCACAGCCGCGCCCAAAAAUAACCGCCCGAAGGCCGGGGCGCCAAGUUCGUCCAGCGGAAAAAGGCCACACAAAACGGGUGGGCUAUAGCCUUGGGGGGUGGGGCUGCCCAACUUCGUCCGCCGGACUCGGAAUGGCUCGAGACUUUGCGAGCGGCCUCCGUGUACCAAAAAUAGGCCGCGGGCACAGCCGCCCCCAAAAAUAACCACCCGAAGGCCGGGUCGCCAAUUCGUCCAGCGGAAAAAGGCCACAAAAACGGGUGGGCUAUAGCCUUGGGGGGUGGGGCUGGCCAACUUCGUCCACCGGACUCGAAAUGGUGCGAGACUUUGCGAGCGGCCUCCGUGUGCCAAAAAUAGGCCGCGGACACAGCCGCACCGAAAAAUAACUGCCCGGAGGGCCGGGGCGCCAAGUUCGUCCAGCGGAAAAAGGCCACACAAAACGGCUGGGCUAUAGCGUUGGGGGGUGGGGCUGGCCGACUUCGUCCGCCGGACUCGGAAUGGCGCGAGACAUUGCGAGCGGCCUCCGUGUGCCAAAAAUAGGCCGCGGACACAGCCGCACCCAAAAAAAACCGCCCGAAGGCCGGGGCGCCAAGUUCGCCCAGCGGAAAAAGGCCACAAAAAUGGGUGGGGUAUAGCCUUGGGGGGUGGGGCUGGCCAACUUCGACCGCCGGACUCGGAAUGGCGCGAGACUUUGCGAACGGCCUCCAUGUGCAAACAAUAGGCCGCGGGCACAGCCGCACCCAAAAAUAACCGCCAGAAGGCCGGGGCACCAAGUUCGUCCGGCGGAAAUAGGCCGCAAACAUGGGUGGGCUAUAGCCUUGGGGGUUGGGACGGGCCAACUUCGUCCGCCGGACUCGGAAUGGCGCGAGACUUUGCGAGCGGCCUCCGUGUGCCAAAAAUAGGCCGUGGGCACAGCCGCGCCCAAAAAUAACCGCCCGAAGGCCGGGGCGCCAAGUUCGUCCAGCGGAAAAAGGCCACACAAAACGGGUGGGCUAUAGCCUUGGGGGGUGGGGCUGCCCAACUUCGUCCGCCGGACUCGGAAUGGCUCGAGACUUUGCGAGCGGCCUCCGUGUACCAAAAAUAGGCCGCGGGCACAGCCGCCCCCAAAAAUAACCACCCGAAGGCCGGGUCGCCAAUUCGUCCAGCGGAAAAAGGCCACAAAAACGGGUGGGCUAUAGCCUUGGGGGGUGGGGCGGGCCAACUUCGUCCGCCGGACUCGGAACGGCGCGGGACUAUGCGAGCAGCCUCCAUGUGCCACACAUAGGCCACGGGCACAGCCGCACCCAAAAAUAACCGCCCGAAGGCCGGGGCGCCAAGUUCGUCCAGCGGAAAAAGGCCACAAAAACGGGUGGGGUAUAGCCUUGGGGGGUGGGGCUGGCCAACUUCGACCGCCGGACUCGGAAUGGCGCGAGACUUUGCGAACGGCCUCCAUGUGCAAACAAUAGGCCGCGGGCACAGCCGCACCCAAAAAUAACCGCCCGAAGGCCGGGGCACCAAGUUCGUCCGGCGGAAAUAGGCCGCAAACAUGGGUGGGCUAUAGCCUUGGGGGUUGGGACGGGCCAACUUCGUCCGCCGGACUCGGAAUGGCGCGAGACUUUGCGAGCGGCCUCCGCGUGCCAAAAAUAGGCCGCGGGCACACCCUCGCCCAAAAAUAACGGCCCGGAGGGCCGGGGCACCAAGUUCAUCCAGCGGAAAAAGGCCACACAAAACGGGUGGGCUGUAGCCUUGGGGGGUGGGGCUGGCCGACUUCAUCCGCCGGACUCGGAAUGGCGCGAGACUUUGCGAGCGGCCUCCGUGUGCCAAAAAUAGGCCGCGGACACAGCCACGCUAAAAAAUAACCGCCCUAAGGCCGGGGCGCCAAGUUCGUCCAGCGGAAAAAGGCCACAAAAACGGGUGGGCUAGCCUUGGGGGGUGGGGCUGGCCGACUUCGUCCGCCGGACUCGGAAUGGCGCGAGACUUUGUGAGCGGCCUCCGUGUGCCAAAAAUAGGCUGCGGGCACAGACGCUCCCAAAAAUAACCGCCCGAUAGCCGGGGCGCCAAGUUCGUCCAGCGGAAAAAGGCCACAAAAACGGGUGGGCUAUAGUCUUGGGGGGUGGGGGGGGCCAACUUCGUCCGCCGGACUCCGAACGGCGCGGGACUAUGCGAGCAGCCUCCAUGUGCCACACAUAGGCCACGGGCACAGCCGCACCCAAAAAUAACCGCCCGAAGGCCGGGGCGCCAAGUUCGUCCAGCGGAAAAAGGCCACAAAAACGGGUGGGCUAUAGCCUUGGGGGGUGGGGCGGGCCGACUUCGUCCGCCGGACGCAGAAUGGGGCGAGACUUUGCGAGCGGCCUCCGCGUGCCAAAAAUAGGCCGCGGGCACAGCCGCACCCAAAAAUAACUGCCCGCAGGGCCGGGGCGCCAAGUUAGUCCAGCGGAAAAAGGCCACACAAAACGGGUGGGCUAUAGCCUUGGCGGGUGGGGCUGGCCGACUUCGUCCGCCGGACUCGGAAUGGCGCGAGACUUUGCGAGCGGCCUCCGUGUGCCAAAAAUAGGCGGUGGGCACAGCCGCGCUAAAAAAUAACCACCCGAAGGCCGGGGCGCCAAGUUCGUCCAGCGGAAAAAGGCCACAAAAACGGGUGGGCUAUAGCCUUAGGGGGUGGGGCUGGCCAAAUUCGUCCGCCGGACUCGGAAUGGUACGAGACUUUGCGAGGCACCUCCGUGUGACAAAAAUAGGCCACGGGCACAGCCGCGCCCAAAAAUAACCUACCGAAGGGCGGGGCGCCAUGUUCGUCUAGCGGAAAAAGGACAAAAAACGGGUGGGCUAUANNNNNNNNNNNNNNNNNNNNNNNNNNNNNNNNNNNNNNNNNNNNNNNNNNNNNNNNNNNNNNNNNNNNNNNNNNNNNNNNNNNNNNNNNNNNNNNNNNNNNNNNNNNNNNNNNNNNNNNNNNNNNNNNNNNNNNNNNNNNNNNNNNNNNNNNNNNNNNNNNNNAAAAAUGGAUCGGCUAUAGCGUUGGGGGGGUGGGGGCUGGCCAACUUCGUCCGCCGGACUCGGAUUGGCGCGAUACUUUGCGAGGCACUCCGUGUGCCAAAAAUAGGAAGCGGGCACAGCCGCGCCCAAAAAUAACCUCCCGAAGGCCGGGGCGCCAAGUUCGUCCAGCGGAAAAAGGCGACAAAAACGGGUGGGCUAUAGCAUUGGGGGGUGGGGCUGGCCAACAUCGUCCGCCGAACUCGGAAUGCAGCGAGACUUUGCGAGGGGCCUCCAUGUGCCACAAAUAGGUCGUGGGCAAAGGCGCGCCCAAAAUUAACUGCCCGAAGGCCCGGGCGCCAAGUUCGUCCAGCUGAAAAAGGCCACAAAAACGGGUGCGAUAAAGCCUUGGGGGGUGGGGUUGGCCAACUUCGUCCGCCGGACUCGGAAUGGCGCGAGACUUUGUGAGGCACCUACGUGUGCCAAAAAUAGGCCGCGGGCACAGCCGCGCCCAAAAAUAACCGCCCGAAGGCCGGGGCGCCAAGUUCGUCCAGCGGGAAAAUGCCCCAAAAACGGGUGGGCUAUAGCCUUGGGGAGUGGGGCUGGCCAACUUCAUCCGCCGGGCUCGGAAUGGCGCGAGACAUUGCGAGGCGCCUCCGUUUGCAAAAAAUAGGCCGCGGGCACAGCAGCGCCCAAAAAUAACCGCCCGAAGGCCCGGGCGCCAAGUUCGUCCAGCGGAAAAAGCCCACAAAAACGGUUGGCUAUAGACUUGGGGGGCGGGGCUGGCCGACUUCGUCCGCCGGACUCGGAAUGGCGCGAGACUUUGCGAGGUGCCUCUGUGUGCCAAAAAUAGGCUGCGGGCACAGCCGCGCCCAAAAAUAACCGCCCGAAGGCCGGGGCGCCAAGUUCGUGCAGCGGAAAAAGGCCACAAAAACAGUUGGGCUAUAGCCUUGGGGGGUGGGGCUAGCCAACUUUGUCCGCCGGACUCGGAAUGGCGCGAGACUUUGCGAGGCGCCUCCGUGUGCCAAAAAUAGGCUGCGGGCACAGCCGCGUCCAAAAAUAACCGCCCGAAGGCCGGGGCGCCAAGUUCGUCCAGCGAAAAAAGGCCACAAAAACGGGUGGCCUAUAGCAUUGGGGGGUGGGGCUGGCGAACUUCGUCCGCCGGAUUCGGAAUGGCGUGAGACUUUGCGAGGUGCCUCCGUGUGCCAAAAAUAGGCUGCGGGCACAGCCGCACCCAAAAACCACCGCCCGAAAGCCGGGGCGUCAAGUUCGUCCAGCGGAAAAAGGCCAUAAAAACGGGUGGGCUAUAGCAUUGGGGGGUGGGGAUGGCGAACUUCGUCCGCCGGACUCGGAAUGGCGCGAGACUUUGCGAGGUGCCUCCGUGUGCCAAAAAUAGGCCGCGGGCACAGCCGUGGCCAAAAAUAACGGCCCGAAGGCCGGGGCGCCAAGUUCGUGCAGCGGAAAAAGGCCACAAAAACGGGUGGGC
rnacentral:lncRNA from 1 species